rnacentral:rRNA from 1 species
AUUGAACGCUGGCGGCAGGCUUAACACAUGCAAGUCGAGCGGAGAUGAGGUGCUUGCACCUUAUCUUAGCGGCGGACGGGUGAGUAAUGCUUAGGAAUCUGCCUAUUAGUGGGGGACAACAUUCCGAAAGGAAUGCUAAUACCGCAUACGUCCUACGGGAGAAAGCAGGGGAUCUUCGGACCACGCGAUCAUAGCUGAGCCUAAGUCGGAUUAGCUAGUUGGUGGGGUAAAGGCCUACCAAGGCGACGAUCUGGUGCGGGUCUGAGAGGAUGAUCCGCCACACUGGGACUGAGACACGGCCCAGACUCCUACGGGAGGCAGCAGUGGGGAAUAUUGGACAAUGGGGGGAACCCUGAUCCAGCCAUGCCGCGUGUGUGAAGAAGGCCUUAUGGUUGUAAAGCACUUUAAGCGAGGAGGAGGCUACUGAGACUAAUACUCUUGGAUAGUGGACGUUACUCGCAGAAUAAGCACCGGCUAACUCUGUGCCAGCCGCCGCGGUAAAAC